UCUCUCUCUCUCUCUCUCUAUGUCCUGCCCUCCUCUCUUCUCUCUCUGUCUCUCUUGCACAACUUACCAUUCAUUGAUGCAACACCCCAAAACCAAUUCCCUUUAACCAUAGAUCCGCAAGCCAAUACUACAAACCUUUGUCCGCUUUCCUCUACCACAAACCCACAAUCCAAUGCAUUAAGAGAUAGAUAAAACUUCCUCCCUUCCUCUGCUUUCUCUAGUUGUUCUAUCUCAUAACCCAACACCAUUUGAGUUUGCAAGAACAAAGAUCCAGUAAAAAUCCAAUGCCAUUUACUCCUUAAUUUUUAGAAAUGGAUGGAGCAACAAAGGCACCAGAGGAUGGUUCUUUAACAACAACAUGAGGAAGUUGAGGAGAUGAAGCAUGGUCCUUUCCUUGUUUAGAAGCUCCAGGAGAUCAAAAUCUCAAAAAGAUUUUAGCUUUCAAUCCAUUGUCAACCACCUCGCUUUUCGUUUAUUUUAUCAUAUUGAUUAUAUGGACAAUUUGAGAUGUAUGGUGUAAUGGGUCCUUUACAUUUUUCCAUAUUUUACUUAAAAAGGUUUUUGUAAAACUAGUUUUAAUUAUCUUUUUCACACUUCGUUGGGAAUUGAAAUGGGUUCAUUACCUUCAAUUCUCGAAAAUAGAUACCUAUAUUUCUAUAGUUGAAUGGGG
rnacentral:misc_RNA from 1 species